rnacentral:lncRNA from 1 species
AUGCUGCUACUCAAGGGAGCACAGAAUGCAUGUGCCAUGCAUGACUGGAAAGAUCACUUUCCAGUGAACACACCCCUGCCAGCAGAGCAAUCACGGAAGGACAAUAAUAACUCAGAGCUCGGGGUCGUCUGGAUCUUGACUAGACUACACCAGAGUACCACUGAUCUAUUGCAGGGAAGAGGUUCUUGGUUUGGCUACAGAUGGAGAAAACAGGUUCUGAAGCUCCCUCUUGCAUCUCCUCCAAGCUGGGAUAAGCACUGAUUGACUCAGGGACUUCACGUGUUUCAGCCACUUUCACACUUUCCAUCUCAAGCUUGAAUACAGUUGACAGAGGGAGCACUAAUUAGUUAAUCGUAUUUAAUUUUGCAUAUCCGGAGAAGGGCUUUGUGGAUAUUAAUGCAAAUGUAUGUAAAUGUAUGUAAAGGUAACCAAAUUAAUACUGCUGGGGUACUUCUUUUAAAGGAAUCAGAGCCUGUUCUGGGUAGAAACAGGUUAAAAUACCCACAUGCCUGUGGGAACAGCUUUCUUCCACCCCAGUUCACUCUGCUCUGCCUUACUGGGCUGGGCACUCUGGUGAUCCUAGCAUGUAGGAAGAUUGCCAUGAGUUUGAUGGGCCCCUAGGUUUUAGUGACACCCCUGAAAAUAAUCAUUGUUUUCCAUCUUUUAUAGAGAGCUGUUAAAAGAAUUCCAUACAUGUAUAAGACCAAGCAAAUGAAGAAAGGAGGAGGAGGAGGAGGAGGAGGAGGAGGAGGAGGAGGAGGAGGAGAAGAAGAAGAAGAAGAAGAAGAAGAAGAAGAAGAAGAAGAAGAAGAAGAAGAAGAAGAAGCUAUCAAUUUGAGAGUGGGGGUAUAGAAGGGGUGGGUGAGAGGGAGGAGAGGAAAGGAAGAAAGUGAUGUAAUUCUAUUUCAAUUAAAAACAUUGUUUUUUUUUUUAAAGAAUCAGGAUGUUUUAAAAAUAUGAAGACACUAAGCCCACAAUAUUUUUAAAGGAAUAAAUUAGUGAAAAGAGGGCA